rnacentral:lncRNA from 1 species
CCAUGAUCUUAUCAGGAAAAACAAGGAUGAAAGAGAUGGUCUGAAAGAAGUUUUUAACAAUGCUCAGGCUGACAUUCUGUCCUAUGAAAUAUUUUGUGGAAAUGAACUUAUGGAUGACACAAGGACACACCUCCCAAUGAAGCUUUUCAGAAACAUUGGAAAAGCAAAAUCUGAUUUAGAAUAUGUUGAAACAGAAAAAAUUGUGUUUGAUUGUAUCCAGACAGGAGAAAUCCCCAAAUGGAUUAAAAGGGAUUGUCUGUAUGUACCCUGGUCAGACCCUGCAAUAUGCUCUGAGGAGAUAGAGUCACCAUUCCAAGAAACUCAUGCAGAAGUUUAAAAUGGAAAUCAAGUUUUUAGGUUUAUCAGAUAAUGAAGAAACACUAAGAGAGAUUCCAACUCUGAAAGAAACUCCCUGUUUUAGAGAGGAGCACUGGAGAGAAAGCUUGAGCACAAAAGGACUGUCUGCAGUAUUUUUUGAGUGGACAAAAAUUUAGAAGCAUUCAAUACAUGUGGUUCACUAAAUAUCAGAAAACUUAUGCAGGCAUAUAAGUGAUUUGAAAAUUUUAUGCUCUUUAAUAAAUAUUUUUUAAUAAAUCUUCUUCA